GAGUCAACGUAUGAAUAAUACGUGGCGAACGGCUCAGUAACACGUAGUCAACAUGCCCAAAGGACGUGGAUAACCUCGGGAAACUGAGGAUAAACCGCGAUAGGUCAUAAGUACUGGAAUGUUUUAUGGCUCAAAUCUACAUGGCCUCUGGAUUGGACUGCGGCCGAUCAGGCUGUUGGUGAGGUAAUGGCCCACCAAACCUGUUACCGGUACGGGCUCUGAGAGGAGGAGCCCGGAGAUGGGCACUGAGACAAGGGCCCAGGCCCUAUGGGGCGCAGCAGGCGCGAAACCUCUGCAAUAGGCGAAAGCUUGACAGGGUUACUCUGAGUGAUUCCCGCUAAGGGAAUCUUUUGGCAUCUCUAAAAACGAUGCAGAAUAAGGGGUGGGCAAGUCUGGUGUCAGCCGCCGCGGUAACACCAGCACCCCGAGUGGUCGGGACGAUUAUUGGGCCUAAAGCAUCCGUAGCCGGUCUUGCAAGUCUUCCGUUAAAUCCACCUGCUUAACAGAUGGGCUGCGGAAGAUACUACAAGACUAGGAGGCGGGAGAGGCAAGCGGUACUCAGUGGGUAGGGGUAAAAUCCUCUGAUCCAUUGAAGACCACCAGUGGCGAAGGCGGCUUGCCAGAACGCGCUCGACGGUGAGGGAUGAAAGCUGGGGGAGCAAACCGGAUUAGAUACCCGGGUAGUCCCAGCUGUAAACGAUGCAGACUCGGUGAUGGGCCGGCUUCAUGCCGGCUCAGUGCCGCAGGGAAGCCGUUAAGUCUGCCGCCUGGGGAGUACGGUCGCAAGACUGAA
rnacentral:rRNA from 1 species